UGAAACCAGAGCUACACCCAAAAUGAACUUGAAGGUCAUGCCAGAAGGAGCCUCGGUGAUUUGAGUUUGUCUCUGAAGAAGAUGAAGUUUGACCAGAAGUUGCAUCUAACUUUUUCUUAUGUCUGCGUUUUGUUGGAGUUGAAAUAGGGGAACCCAUGUCCCUAGAUUUCACAGCCACUCCUUCCUUCAAUUCAGUUUGACCAACUCCAGUACCCUGCAAAAAAAAAAAAACAUAUUUUCUAGUGAUUUUCAAGUCGUGCUAAAAUCUUUGAUUACUGUAAGUCUGUAAAUGGACAUUCCAUUCUUCUGUUCUUAUGUGGCUAAUUAUGUAGAGUACUCUCUUAUUUAUUAGUUCAAUUUAUAUACUAUAAAUUGAAUUACCUCUUCUUUUACUCGGGCC
rnacentral:lncRNA from 1 species